AAGUGGACUUGUCCACUUUGCCGCGUCACAAGCUUCCACACUACACUUGGCCCUUAAGUCCCAAGCCACAUGGCCCAUGCAUGCUUCAUCACGUAAGUGGGUUUGUCCACUUUGCCGCAUCAUGUGCUCUCCAUGUGAGAUUCAUAGUGCGCCCCCACUAAUGCCAAUUCAAGUGACUUUGAGCCUCCACUAAUUGAUCCCCAAGUGCCCCACUAAAGUCCCUUACGUCCUUGCAUGCGAUUUCCAUGCAAUACAAGACUCCCACAUGCGGUGCACCUUUGGUCCAAUUUAGUGCGCUCCACAUGCACCAUGCUACACUUGGCCCAUGCCAAUUUCCAUGCACGUAAAAAGGGUCCCAAUUCUCCACUAAUUAGACCACAAGUGUCCCACUAAACCCAAGGGAUCA
rnacentral:misc_RNA from 1 species